AUGGGCGAGACGGCCAUGGCCGGGUACGGGCUGGACAGGCCGGCGCGCUGCAGCGUCAGCUUCGACACGCCGUGCGGCUCCCUGCUGCGCGAGCUCGAGCAAAUAUGGACAGAGAUCGGGGAGCGCGAACAAGAUAAAGAUCGGAUGUUUCAAGAACUCGAAGCGGAGUGUAUGCGUGUGUAUCGUCGGAAGGUCGACAGUGCCAAUGCUGAUAGAAGCCAGCUCCGCCAGUCAGUGAUGGCCAAAGAAGCAGAGCUUAAAGCUUUAGUGGCUUCGAUAGGUGAAAAUACUACACAAUUUAAGGUGAAUGAAAAGCAUGCAUCGUUGAAAGAACAACUUGCUGCAGUGACGCCUCUCUUGGAUGAUCUCAGGGCCAUGAAAGAAGAAAGAAUCAAACAGUUCUCAAAUGUGCAAUCGCAAAUCGAGACGAUAAAUGCACAAAUAUCUGAUCACAAUUAUCAGCAUGAUGAUGGUUCGUCCAAACGUCUGAACAAUGAUCAUGACUUGUCAACCAGAAGACUUGCUGAUCUUCAAAUGCAGCUACGCAAUUUACAAAAAGAGAAGUCUGACCGCCUUCAGAAAGUAUUUGUAUAUGUGGAUGAAGUGCACUGCCUAUGCGCUGUGCUUGGGAUGGAUUUUGCAAAGACUGUAAAGGACGUGCAUCCAAGUUUGCAUGGGACCAACUCAGAUAAUUCGACGAAUAUCAGUGAUAGCACCCUUGAAGGUCUUACUCAGACUAUCCUGAAGCUCAAAGCAGAAAAGAGGACCAGAGUCUCCAAGUUGCAAGAAAUUGUGGGGAAACUCCACAAGUUAUGGAAUCUGAUGGAGUCAACAGAACAAGAGAGGAGACAUUUCAGCGAAGUAGCCGCUGUUCUUGGAUCUUCUGAGGAAGAGAUCACUUCUCCUAGUGUCCUGUCACUGGAGACGAUUCAGGAGACAGAAGAGGAGGUCGAAAGACUAACUAAGCAAAAAGCGAGUAGAAUGAAGGAGCUUGUUCUUAAGAGAAGGGUAGAGCUAGAAAAUAUCUGCAGAAAUGCACAUAUGGAGCCCGAUACGAGCACAGCACCAGAGAAGAUCGUUGCUCUAAUCGAUUCUGGUCUAGUGGAUCCUUGCGAACUUCUUUCCAACAUCGAAGCGCAAAUUGCAAAAGCAAAUGAGGAAUCUCAUACGAGGAAAGAUAUCAUGGAGAGAGUAGACAAAUGGCUAUCGGCCUGUGAUGAAGAGACUUGGCUUGAGGAAUACAAUCAGGAUGAUAACAGGUACAGUGCGGGCAGGGGUGCCCACUUGAAUCUCAAGCGUGCAGAAAAAGCGCGGUUACUCGUUCAAAAGAUUCCAACUAUGAUUGACAACUUGAUAGACAAGACAUUUGCCUGGGAGGAUGAAAGCAAUACACCAUUUCUAUAUGACGGGGUUCGUCUGGUCGCAAUUUUGGAAGAGCAAAAACUCAGAAGAGUACAGAAGGAGGAAGAUAAGAAACGAUACCGGGACCAGAAGAAGCUGCAGAAUCUAUUGCUUAAAGAAAAGGAGUUGAUCUUUGGGUCCAAGUCUGUUCCGAGGAAAACAAGCAGUUUUAACAGGAGGACGAGCGGGCAUCAUCCAAAUGGAAACGGGGCUGGUUUCAUGACUCCGAUGCCCCGCCGGGUGUCAGCGGGCAGUGCCACUCCUGAGCUUUUGACACCACGCUCGUAUUCUGGCCGGUACAACAAUUACUUCAAGGAGAACAGGAGGAUGACGGCGACGCCACUCAACUUCUCUACGGCUUCCAAGGAUGACAGCAUGUCAUCCUUCGCCUCCAUUAGCGGCUCGGAGCCUGGUUCUCCAUUGGUUUUGCACUGA
rnacentral:rRNA from 1 species